UGAUAUUCUAAAUAGGCAAGUCAGUCAUGAAACACAAUAGAUGUAUUAAUAUAGAUAUAUAAUUUCAUAUAUAUGCAGUUUAUCAUAAAGAUGGUAUUUCCAGUCAAUGAUGAAUAAAAGAGAAAAAUAAAUUAUAGAAACAUCAAAAUGGUAAAGAUAAAACAAGGCAAAUCUUUAAACGUAUUAUAAGAAAAUAAAAGAAAUUCAUUUAGAACAUUGAGUUAGAAAAGACCCUUGUAAACAAAUUACAAAUGAAAGUUUUUCUCUUUAUGGUAAAAAUCAUAAAGGAAACAAAAGUUAAUCUGAUAUCAAGAAAACAUGAUUGAAUAUGCCAAAGUCACUAUAAAAUUAAAAUUUGUGUUAAAACUUUAAAAGUAUUUGAUACUUGUAUAAAAUAAAGGAUUGAUAUUCACAGUUUAUUUUAAAACCUACAAAUACUUAUAACCACAAAAAUCCAAUAGACCCAGGGGCCAAGUGUGGAGAUAGGGAAUUCAGAGGACAGGAAAUCCAAACACUUCCAAUACAGAGUCCAACCCACUCCCUGAGAGUUGGAUGUUUGGAAACUACAACGCAGGGAUAUCACUUUUUUGCCCACAACAUUUGCAAAAUUGAACGAUAUAAAAAUUUACCAUCGAAUUUUGUUCACAAUAUAGGGAAACAGGCACUGUCAUUUCUUGCGUGACAGAUUGGUUCAGUCUUCAAAGGACAACUUAGCAGUAUUUGCUGACAUGAUCAAAGCGCUUCUCUUUUGGUCCAUCAUCUCCACUUCUCAGUGACAAAUCUUAAGACACAUUCACAUGGAAAAAAACCCAAGAUAGUCACAUACUUCCUGUUGUAUCUUUGUACUUAGAAUUACAAUAUGGGAGAAAAGUACCUUGACAUUCAUCUUCAAGGGAAUGGUGACACUACCCGACACCCCCGUUGUGACGUACGGUGCUGCAUACUCCCCAGUGACCAGCCCUUCUAAAUUCCAGACCGCUCAAAGGGCUCGGGAACUCAGGAAGUCCACAGUAGAUGACACUUCUCUGUCCCAUGACAUCUCAGAUGUCCAUGACUGGGAAAUGGAACACCUGGACUGGGACAAUCUGAAGGCUGGUGCAACUUAAGUUUUUAUCCAAGUAUCCAGUUGUUGUCUGUCAGCAUGGUUUGGGCUUGUAACAGCACAAGAGCAUGUUGAAAGAGGACGUCUGGGAAGAAAGCUUUUCAAUAUCACCAAGUACAGGCUCCAUGACUUUUUCUGACUUAAUCCAGGAGUUACGGCAUUGAUUGCAUCAUACUCUGUCUGUCUCAGGAGACCAAAAUCCACACAGUUUCAAGGGAAAGUGACAUGAUCCCACCUUUUACUGGAUGGAAGGACAAAGUAAUAUGGUAGAUGUGGAAAUUAUGGUAAUACUGCUUCCACUUUUGGAAAAUUUAAUUUAGAGUCUUUGAAUACUUAACAAUUUUGCUUCCAUACCGGAGUAUGUAUAGUCACAUGUAUACAGAGCAUACUCAAAUACUACAUAUAAAAUCACAUUUAUGCAAAUAACACAAAUAUGCUGAAAUCUGCCACUAUGCUGCUACCUGGAACUCAGCUUAUACUUCAAAUAUUUUUAUGAAUUAUUAAUAAGGAAAAUCUGUAUUAGUUAUAUUAUGAUAACAGUUCUUUUAGCAUAUGAAAAACAAGUUUACAUCAAAAUUAUAGUAUUGAAGAUGAAAUUCAGAGUCAACUUUUUUUCCAUACAUUAAGUGGUGAAAUAGCUUAAAAUGAAAUGGAAAAAAAGUUAAAAGACUUAUACCAUCAUGCUAGAAUAAGACUUUUCUAUUUUUAUUUUAUUUUAUCAGAUUCAGGGUGUACCAGUGCAGUUUUGUUGCAAGCAUGUAUUUCAUAGUGUUGAAGUAUUGGCUUUUGGUGUACUCAUCACCUGAAUAGUGAACACUGUGCACAAUAGAUAAUUUUUCAACCCUCAUCCUGCCUUCCCAUCCUCCCCUAUUUUGGAGUCCCCAGUAUCUAUUGUUAUUCUCUGUAUGUCCCUGUGUACCCAUUGUUUAGC
rnacentral:lncRNA from 1 species